rnacentral:misc_RNA from 1 species
UUUCCGUAGGUGAACCUGCGGAAGGAUCAUUACUAACGUAUCCACGUAUAAACCAAAACAGUUGAAUUUGUUUCCCAAUUCGUCCGUUAGGCUGGGAAUGGUUGUUGGACGGUAGUUCGUUCAAUAAUUAGCGAUCUUAACUGAUUGUACCCUACCUAGUUCGCGAAUUUUUUACUAAACUAAAAUUUUAACCCAUUUCACCCAAUUUCAAUAUGAACUUAAACUGAUUUAGAAAGGAGACUUUCUGAAUUAAAAAAUACGAAAUUAAGAACAACUCUUAACAACGGAUAUCUUGGCUCUC